AGAGAGUUGAAAAACUCCCUAAACCCACCGUGAACCUACCUAUAUCGUUGCUUCGGCGGGCGGCCCCAGGGCGGGGCCUCGGCCUUUUACAGGUGCCCGCCGACGGCCCCCACAAACUCUCGUGUUAUUUACAGGCAUUCUGAGUAACAAAUAUCAAAUGAGUCA
rnacentral:misc_RNA from 1 species